UCAAGCCAGUUAUCAAGUCCACAGCACCAGAAAAACGAUUUGUUGAUAUUCGCCCCGCACACCGUGUUCAGCUGUUGGAAGCGUGAGAGCUAGCUGACCAAACUAAGUAAAAAAAUCGCCUGACCAUGAUGCAGCACGCUAUUGUUGUCAACAUGUUUGCUUCUCUGUUGUUUGGUACUUUCGCUCAUCCGAGAUUGACGCAAGACGUGUCAGGCGCCAGGCUAUUAUUGGAAGAACCUGAGAUGACGGAGUGUCCUGACCCAAUCGACAUGUCUUUUUGCUUGUUCGAGUUCCUUUAUAAUGAAGCAUGUUUCAAAGGAACGGAAGAAUUUAACAAAAGAUGCCAAAACCUCUGUACUGGAUUAUGCUAAAUAUAUGGAACUCAUUUCAUAGAUGUUCUUUUUAAAACGUACCAAGUAAAGUGGUCUUAUUUACCUCGUAAACAAAAUUAAACAUGAUGUUUUUCUCUCGAACGUGAGGCCAAGAGGACUCGUCAGCAUGAUAGAACGAUAAUCAAGGCUGUCAUCGUCUAAGAGAUAUUUUUCAUGAGUGCUUGUAAUGGAACCAAAAUAAAAUGAUGUUUAUUAACAACAACCACU